CACCCACUAAAACAUUCUAACAUUACAGUAAAGGAGAUUGAAAUUUUCUUUAGGCGCUAUACCUUUGUACCGCAAGGGAAAGAUGAAAUAUAAAUGAAACAACUCUAAGCAUAAAAAAGUAGAGAUUAACCCUUGUACCUUUCGCAUUAUGGUUUAACUAGUCUAACCAAGCGUAAAGAUUUUAAAGUUUGACCCCCCGAAACUAAGUGAGCUACUCCAAGGCAGCCUUAAGAGCCAACCCGUCUCUGUAGCAAAAGAGUGGGAAGACCUUCGAGUAGGGGUGAUAGACCUAACGAACCUAGUGAUAGCUGGUUGUUUAAGAAAAGGAUUUAAGUCCAACCUAAAAUUACUUCUAUAAACUUAAAUACCCUAACAAUUUUAGAGUAAUUCAAGCAAGGUGCAGCCUGCUUGAAACAGGGUACAACCUAAACCUGAGGGUAACAUUUUCCGCACAGUGAUUAAGUAGGCCUAAAAGCAGCCACCUUUUAAAAAGCGUCACAGCUUUACCACACAGGACAUAAUUACUAACCUAAUUAAGAACCCCACCCCUAUAUUAAACAAUUCUAUAAAAUUUAUAGAAACUUUUAUGUUAAAACUAGUAACAAGAAUAAAAAAUUCUCCUUAAUGCAAAUGUAAAUCAGACAGGAUACACCGCUGAUAAUCAACGCCCAUGAGCCAGUAGUAGCAACCCAGCAAGAAAACCCUCCUUUUCCCAACGUUAACCUUACACAAGAGCAUUUUAAGAAAGAU
rnacentral:rRNA from 1 species